GUUGUAUGGUUAAGUGACUAAGCGUACACGGUGGAUGCCUGGGCAGUCAGAGGCGAUGAAGGACGUACUAACUUGCGAUAAGCGCAGAUAAGGCAGUAAGAGCCGUUUGAGUCUGCGAUUUCCGAAUGGGGAAACCCAACUGCAUAAGCAGUUACUGUUAACUGAAUACAUAGGUUAACAGAGCAAACCGGGGGAACUGAAACAUCUAAGUACCCCGAGGAGAAGAAAUCAACCGAGAUUCCGGUAGUAGCGGCGAGCGAACCUGGAUUAGCCCUUAAGCACUCGAUGAAGUAGGUGAACAAGCUGGAAAGCUUGGCGAUACAGGGUGAUAGCCCCGUAACCGACGCUUCAUCGAGCGUGAAAUCGAGUAGGGCGGGACACGUGAUAUCCUGUCUGAAUAUGGGGGGACCAUCCUCCAAGGCUAAAUACUCCUGACUGACCGAUAGUGAACCAGUACCGUGAGGGAAAGGCGAAAAGAACCCCUGUGAGGGGAGUGAAAUAGAACCUGAAACCGUGUACGUACAAGCAGUAGGAGCACCUUCGUGGUGUGACUGCGUACCUUUUGUAUAAUGGGUCAGCGACUUAUAUUCAGUGGCAAGGUUAACCGUAUAGGGGAGCCGUAGCGAAAGCGAGUCUUAACUGGGCGUUCAGUCUCUGGAUAUAGACCCGAAACCGGGUGAUCUAGCCAUGGGCAGGUUGAAGGUUGAGUAACAUCAACUGGAGGACCGAACCGACUAAUGUUGAAAAAUUAGCGGAUGACUUGUGGCUAGGGGUGAAAGGCCAAUCAAACUCGGAGAUAGCUGGUUCUCCCCGAAAGCUAUUUAGGUAGCGCCUCGGACGAAUACUACUGGGGGUAGAGCACUGUUAAGGCUAGGGGGUCAUCCCGACUUACCAACCCUUUGCAAACUCCGAAUACCAGUAAGUACUAUCCGGGAGACACACGGCGGGUGCUAACGUCCGUCGUGGAGAGGGAAACAACCCAGACCGCCAGCUAAGGUCCCAAAGUAUUGCUAAGUGGGAAACGAUGUGGGAAGGCUCAGACAGCUAGGAUGUUGGCUUAGAAGCAGCCAUCAUUUAAAGAAAGCGUAAUAGCUCACUAGUCGAGUCGGCCUGCGCGGAAGAUGUAACGGGGCUAAGCAAUACACCGAAGCUGCGGCAAUGUCUUUUAGACAUUGGGUAGGGGAGCGUUCUGUAAGCCGUUGAAGGUGAAUCGUAAGGUUUGCUGGAGGUAUCAGAAGUGCGAAUGCUGACAUGAGUAACGACAAAGGGGGUGAAAAACCUCCUCGCCGGAAGACCAAGGGUUCCUGUCCAACGUUAAUCGGGGCAGGGUGAGUCGACCCCUAAGGUGAGGCCGAAAGGCGUAAUCGAUGGGAAACGGGUUAAUAUUCCCGUACUUCUGACUAUUGCGAUGGGGGACGGAGAAGGCUAGGUGGGCCAGGCGACGGUUGUCCUGGUUCAAGUGCGUAGGCUUGAGAGUUAGGUAAAUCCGGCUCUCUCUAAGGCUGAGACACGACGUCGAGCUACUACGGUAGUGAAGUCAUUGAUGCCAUGCUUCCAGGAAAAGCCUCUAAGCUUCAGAUAGUUAGGAAUCGUACCCCAAACCGACACAGGUGGUCGGGUAGAGAAUACCAAGGCGCUUGAGAGAACUCGGGUGAAGGAACUAGGCAAAAUGGUACCGUAACUUCGGGAGAAGGUACGCUCUUGAUGGUGAAGUCCCUCGCGGAUGGAGCUGACGAGAGUCGCAGAUACCAGGUGGCUGCAACUGUUUAUUAAAAACACAGCACUGUGCAAAAUCGCAAGAUGACGUAUACGGUGUGACGCCUGCCCGGUGCCGGAAGGUUAAUUGAUGGGGUUAGCGCAAGCGAAGCUCUUGAUCGAAGCCCCGGUAAACGGCGGCCGUAACUAUAACGGUCCUAAGGUAGCGAAAUUCCUUGUCGGGUAAGUUCCGACCUGCACGAAUGGCGUAAUGAUGGCCACGCUGUCUCCACCCGAGACUCAGUGAAAUUGAAAUCGCUGUGAAGAUGCAGUGUACCCGCGGCUAGACGGAAAGACCCCGUGAACCUUUACUACAGCUUGGCACUGAACAUUGAACCUACAUGUGUAGGAUAGGUGGGAGGCUAUGAAGACGUGACGCCAGUUGCGUUGGAGCCGUCCUUGAAAUACCACCCUUGUAUGUUUGAUGUUCUAACUUAGACCCAUUAUCUGGGUUGAGGACAGUGCCUGGUGGGUAGUUUGACUGGGGCGGUCUCCUCCCAAAGAGUAACGGAGGAGCACGAAGGUGGGCUAAUCACGGUUGGACAUCGUGAGGUUAGUGCAAUGGCAUAAGCCCGCUUAACUGCGAGAAUGACGGUUCGAGCAGGUGCGAAAGCAGGUCAUAGUGAUCCGGUGGUUCUGUAUGGAAGGGCCAUCGCUCAACGGAUAAAAGGUACUCCGGGGAUAACAGGCUGAUACCGCCCAAGAGUUCAUAUCGACGGCGGUGUUUGGCACCUCGAUGUCGGCUCAUCACAUCCUGGGGCUGAAGUCGGUCCCAAGGGUAUGGCUGUUCGCCAUUUAAAGUGGUACGCGAGCUGGGUUUAGAACGUCGUGAGACAGUUCGGUCCCUAUCUGCCGUGGGCGUUGGAAGAUUGAAGGGGGCUGCUCCUAGUACGAGAGGACCGGAGUGGACGAACCUCUGGUGUUCGGGUUGUGUCGCCAGACGCAUUGCCCGGUAGCUAAGUUCGGAAUUGAUAAGCGCUGAAAGCAUCUAAGCGCGAAGCGAGCCCUGAGAUGAGUCUUCCCUGAUACUUUAAGUAUCCUAAAGGGUUGUUCGAGACUAGAACGUUGAUAGGCAGGGUGUGUAAGCGUUGUGAGGCGUUGAGCUAACCUGUACUAAUUGCCCGUGAGGCUUAACCAUACAACACCCAAGGGGUUUUGUA
rnacentral:rRNA from 1 species